rnacentral:rRNA from 1 species
UACGUAGGGGGCAAGCGUUGUUCGGAUUUAUUGGGCGUAAAGCGCUCGUAGGCGGCUGAGCAAGUCAGAUGUGAAACCCUCGGGCUUAACCCUAGGCCGCCAUCUGAUACUGCUCAAGCUAGAGUUCGUUAGGGGACGAUGGAAUUCCUGGAGUAGCGGUGAAAUGCGCAGAUCUCAGGAGGAACACCAGCGGCGAAGGCGGCUUGCUAGAACGCAACUGACGCUUAGGCGCGAAAGCGUGGGGAGCAAACAGG